rnacentral:misc_RNA from 1 species
UACGGAGGGUGCGAGCGUUAAUCGGAAUUACUGGGCGUAAAGCGCGCGUAGGUGGCUUGAUAAGCCGGUUGUGAAAGCCCCGGGCUCAACCUGGGAACGGCAUCCGGCACUGUCAGGCUAGAGUGCAGGAGAGGAAGGUAGAAUUACCGGUGCAGCGGUGAAAUGCGUAGAUAUCGGGAGGAACACCAGUGGCGAAGGCGGCCUCCUGGACUGACACUGACAUUGAGGUGCGAAAGCGUGGGUAGCAAACAGG